rnacentral:rRNA from 1 species
UACGUAGGUGGCAAGCGUUGUCCGGAUUUAUUGGGCUUAAAGGGUGCGUAGGCGGUCUUGUAAGUCAGCGGUGAAAUCCGGCAGCUCAACUGUCGAUGUGCCAUUGAUACUGCAUGACUUGAGUACUGAUGAGGUAGGCGGAAUUGACGGUGUAGCGGUGAAAUGCUUAGAUAUCGUCAAGAACACCGAUAGCGAAGGCAGCUUACUAAAGAGUAACUGACGCUGAGGCACGAAAGUGUGGGGAUCAAACAGG